GACGAAGGGGGCAAGCGUUGUUCGGAAUUACUGGGCGUAAAGGGCGCGUAGGUGCGCUCUGUAAGUCAGGCGUGAAAGCCCUGGGCUCAACCUGGGAGUGGCGCUUGAUACUGUGGGGCUAGAGAGCGGGAGAGGUGAGUGGAACUGCGAGUGUAGAGGUGAAAUUCGUAGAUAUUCGCAAGAACACCAGUGGCGAAGGCGGCUCACUGGCCCGAUACUGACGCUGAGGCACGAAAGCGUGGGGAGCAAACAGGG
rnacentral:rRNA from 1 species